GCUUUCCAUGCAGUCGUACGAAAGUGUUAAAACUUUAGUGGCGGACGGGUGAGUAACACGUCGAGAAUUUACCUUUAGGAGGGGAAUAACAGUUGGAAACGACUGCUAAUGCCGCAUAUCAUAACUAUGAAAGAAGAAAUUCGCCUAAAGAAAAGCUUGCGUCUGAUUAGCUAGUUGGUAAGGGUAAAGGCCUACCAAGGCGACGAUCAGUAGCUGGUUUGAGAGGACGACCAGUCACACUGGAACUGAGACACGGUCCAGACUCCUACGGGAGGCAGCAGUGGGGAAUUUUCUGCAAUGGGCGAAAGCCUGACAGAGCAAUACCGCGUGAGGGAAGAAAGCCCACAGGGUUGUAAACCUCUUUUGUCAAGGAAGAAGUUCUGACGUUACUUGACGAAUAAGCAUCGGCUAACUCCGUGCCAGCAGCCGCGGUAAGACGGGGGAUGCAAGUGUUAUCCGGAAUCACUGGGCGUAAAGCGUUUGUAGGUGGUUUAGUAAGUCUAUUGUUAAAGCUUGAAGCUUAACUUCAAAAAUGUAAUAGAAACUACUAGACUUGAGGAUAGUAGGGGUAAAGGGAAUUUCCAGUGGAGCGGUGAAAUGCGUAGAGAUUGGAAGGACCACCGAUGGCGAAGGCACUUUACUGGGCUAUUUCUGACACUAAGAGACGAAAGCUAGGGUAGCGAAUGGGAUUAGAUACCCCAGUAGUCCUAGCUGUAAACGAUGGAU
rnacentral:rRNA from 1 species